UACGGAGGGUGCAAGCGUUAUCCGGAUUCACUGGGUUUAAAGGGUGCGUAGGUGGGUUGGUAAGUCAGUGGUGAAAUCUCAGAGCUUAACUUGGAAACUGCCAUUGAUACUAUCAGUCUUGAAUAUUGUGGAGGUCAGCGGAAUAUGUCAUGUAGCGGUGAAAUGCUUAGAUAUGACAUAGAACACCAAUUGCGAAGGCAGCUGGCUACACAUAUAUUGACACUGAGGCACGAAAGCGUGGGGAUCAAACAGG
rnacentral:rRNA from 1 species